rnacentral:sRNA from 1 species
AAAAAAAUGAACAAAAAGAUACAUAAA